CGAUGUGAUCAUACCAGCACUAAAACACCGGAUCCCAUUAGAACUCCGAA
rnacentral:rRNA from 1 species